rnacentral:rRNA from 1 species
AGGACGAACGCUGGCGGCAUGCCUAACACAUGCAAGUCGAACGAGACCUUCGGGUCUAGUGGCGCACGGGUGCGUAACGCGUGGGAAUCUGCCCUUAGGUACGGAAUAACAGUGAGAAAUUACUGCUAAUACCGUAUGAUGUCUUCGGACCAAAGAUUUAUCGCCUAGGGAUGAGCCCGCGUAGGAUUAGCUAGUUGGUGGGGUAAAGGCCUACCAAGGCGACGAUCCUUAGCUGGUCUGAGAGGAUGAUCAGCCACACUGGGACUGAGACACGGCCCAGACUCCUACGGGAGGCAGCAGUGGGGAAUAUUGGACAAUGGGCGAAAGCCUGAUCCAGCAAUGCCGCGUGAGUGAAGAAGGCCUUCGGGUUGUAAAGCUCUUUUACCCGGGAAGAUAAUGACUGUACCGGGAGAAGUAAGCCCGGCUAACUCCGUGCCAGCAGCCGC